rnacentral:ncRNA from 1 species
CAUAGGUUUGGUCCUGGCCUUUCUAUUAACUGUUAGUAAAAUUACACAUGCAAGUAUCCGCAACCCAGUGAGAAUGCCCUAUAAGUCCUAACGGACAAAAAGGAGCUGGUAUCAAGCACACAUAAGUAGCUCACAACACCUUGCUCAGCCACACCCCCACGGGAAACAGCAGUGAUAAAAAUUUAGCCAUAAACGAAAGUCUGACUAAGUUAUACUAAUUAUCUAUAAGGGUUGGUAAAUUUCGUGCCAGCCACCGCGGUCAUACGAUUAACCCAAAUUAAUAGACACCCGGCGUAAAGCGUGCCCAAGAAUAUUAUACAAUAAGGUUAAACUCUGGCUAAUCUGUAAAAAGUCAUAGCCACCGUAAAAUACACCACGAAAGCAACCUUACAACAUCCCACCGCACGACAGCUAAGACCCAAACUGGGAUUAGAUACCCCACUAUGCUUAGCCUUAAACCUAAAAAUUAUGUAAAACAAAAUUAUUCGCCAGAGUACUACUAGCAAAAGCUUAAAACUCAAAGGACUUGGCGGUGCUUUAUAUCCAUCUAGAGGAGCCUGUUCUAUAAUCGAUAAACCCCGAUAAACCUCACCAACUCUUGCCAAUACAGCCUAUAUACCGCCAUCUUCAGCAAACCCUAAAAAGGAACUAAAGUAAGCAAAAAUAUCUAAACAUAAAGACGUUAGGUCAAGGUGUAGCCCAUGAGUUGGCAAGAAAUGGGCUACAUUUCCUAUCCAUUAGGUCACCAAAUUUUACACGAAAAUUUUUGUGAAAUCAAAAAUUAAAGGUGGAUUUAGUAGUAAAUUAAGAAUAGAGAGCUUAAUUGAAUUAGGCCAUGAAGCACGCACACACCGCCCGUCACCCUCCUCAAGCAAUUAAUCCACAACUAUAACAUAUUGAAACGUUACAAACCUGUAAGAGGAGAUAAGUCGUAACAAGGUAAGCGUACUGGAAAGUGCGCUUGGAUAACC